rnacentral:tRNA from 1 species
GCCUACGCUCGCAGAGAUAUAAGACUCGGCUACUAACCGAGCGGUCGGGGGUUCGGACCCACCCGUAGGCACCA